ensembl:lncRNA
CCCAAAACUCGUUCCAGGCCUGCAACCAGAUUAGCAUAUUAAUGAGGCUGUAAUUUCCCCGGAAUUGUCUGCACAUCUAUGCCCGCUCACAGCACACUGGCCCAGGAGUUUGCUAUGCAAAUAAACUGGUUUUACAGGCUGUGGCUUAAUUAACUCAUCAAGUUCAUCUUCCUAACAAAAAAGGCAGACUAACUGCGGAUUAAUGGACCUGUGUUUGCUCUGCUUUCUCUCUCCCUGGUCCUGCUCACUCCCCACAGCACCCGCUCCCUCCAAGCCUCCCGCUCCUGGCCGACGCCUGUCCUCGGAGGAGAUAAAUCCUGGCAAAAGAGAUGGGGGGACAUUAAUACUGCUUCCAGCAGAGUCUGGGAGGUUUUCUCAUCGACUUCAAGGGGAAUAAGAUGGAUCAGGCCUAAAGGAUGGUAAUUACGCCUCCAGUUGAAGCUGGCAGGUGACCACUUAUGAGAAGGAGGUGGCACAUUAUGACGCUGUCUCUGUAACGUGGUUGUCCCCGUACAGCUCAGAGCUGGGUCUGGGGACAGAGAUUAAGGCUCAGUGCCCAGGGGAGUGCUGGCAAGCCUGCUCCGUCCCUAACAGCACAGGGUCAGUGCAGAUGAGGGGUGCUGCUGUCCCUCCUGGUUAAUUAGAAAGAUCCUUCUGGGUAGCUAACCAUGCUCAGUGACCCUCUGCCUCCUGAUAAUAAUUAACAAAUAAGUAAACAAACAAACAAACAAACAAACAAAUAAAUAAAUGUAAGGAUUCACAGAGUUGCUAGAAGGAAGUUCAUACAGCCCAAAGGCUGCAUUCAGCAGCAAAGCACUGGACUGGAGGGAUCUUUGAACAUUAACAUCAUUGUGCAUUUAUUUCCUCCCCUUUUCCCUGUUUUUUCCAUUCUCUCCCUUCACUGUGGGAAGCAGAUCUCUGCAGGAUCCAGGUAGCCCUUAGCACAGAGCCAAGGGUGGCAUCCUGUCACCCUGUUCCCCCACCUGCACAGCAUGUUCUCAGCACUCAGCUCUAUGACAUGUCUGCACCUCUCCUGGUGCCAAGUUCUGGAGCCUUCACUUGGCCAAAAAGCAGACCUCUGUCAGUCACAGCUGGCUUGGAAUGGACUGAAGUUGAAGCUUUUUUUCACCAAAGUUGUUUUAAACUGGACAAAGUCCUUGAAAAUCUAACUGUACUCAGAAGCUUUUCUGCAUUCACAGGGAAAUGGACUGGCUGACCUAAAAGGUCUUUUCCAUCUCUAAUUUCUGUGGCUGUGUGAUUCAUCCCUCUUCUUUGAAAGUGUUUCCUACAUGAAAUGUCUAGUAGAAGGAAAAAAUGAUACUAAAUAAUCUUUUUUCAUUUCCUCUCAUCAUUGUCAGAGAUUAUGAGAGGUGAGGGAUAUGUCUGUUGUGACAUUAGCCAAGCAGUGGAACAGAAAAGGCAAACCAGGAUCCAGCUUAGCAGCCAAGAAAGAGACAAUUCACUCGGGGUAGAAUAGGAGGAAAUGUGCUGUGGGCAUCCUUUUCAGCAGCGCCAAUGGUCCUUCCUUCCUCAGACCCUGAGAAACCCCACAUGGGAGAAAUGCAAACCUCUUACAGAGGAGAGCAGUGCCUGGCUGAGCAGCAGAGCGGGGCGAGGGCUGGAGCAGCUCCCUGGGAUGUUCUCCCAGGCACUGCAAGGCACCCAAGUCAGCUGUGCUCUCAGUGCUUCUACCGUGUCACCAGGAGUUUCCCUACUGCUAGCUGGUCCAGCUUCCUCUUAAUCCACUAAGCUCCUCCAGCCAGGAGUUGCACGGAUAACUCCCUGCAAGGAGAAACAGCUGCUUUGGCUUGUUUUAAAUCUUACUGGUACCACCUUCACUCAAGGAUGCGAGUGCAUUUUUAGGUCUGUGUUGGUCUCCUGGGAGCUGUUUCACGUGGGGAAUAGAGCUGAGGGGUGAACAUCCCAGUCCCUGUGCUGGGGGAGCUGCCCUACCCCUGGGGGCCCCACAUCAUCCAGUCCCAGGAUCAUUGAAUCUUUGUGUCGAGGUUAUCCUAUGGAUAAUGGGGUGGCACUGCCUCUCCUCCUGCACGGCAGUGCUGCUGUCCCCAGAACUGAGUGGAGACCAAAGGGACAAACCCCUGUGCAGGUAACCCUGGAGCUGAUCUCAGGCCAUUUACCACCAAUCUGGAGAUGUGAAUAACAGUCUUUAGAAGUCACACCAGCAGUGUCUGAAGAUUUUUUGUGUGUGUGAUAGAACUUUUAAUUCUUUUUAUUUCAUUGAUCUACUGGAUUUUCUUUUCCUCUUAAUUUUUUUCUUUCUCUUUGAAUUUUUUGUUUCAUUUCCUGAAAGCAGGAGAAAUAAUGUAAGCCAAAGCCCCUUGCUGCCUCACCUUUUUGCUGCAGAAUGCAUGUAUGCAGAUUUCUCAAAACAAAGACUUCAGUUUGCUGUAUCUCAUAGUCAGGAAAUAACUCCAAACACCAACAUCUCCCAGAUACCAUUCCCACCCACAGGAAUCCUUCUCAAGAUGGACAUUCCAGGACACUGAUUUUUUUUUUCCUUUCUUUUAUGCAGUCACCACUUCAACAAAAGGGGGACAGCAUUUUCCUCACAUGUACCAGAAGGGAGUGUGGGAGAAGGGGGACACUCUGGAAGACCCAGUAGUGUGAAGCUGGAUCUCCGCAAGACAAACCUUGGAAUAAAAAGUCCUCUUUCACAAUUUACAAGGAGAAUGAUGAAUCCAAGGGCAGCAGCAACUUCUUUGGUGUGAGCCCUGAGCCCAGGCCAGUGGUGUUGGGUGGGGAGGUGCCAGGCAGGAUGCUGAGAUCGCCAAAUUACCAGGCUGAGUUCAGCGGGUGAGCCUCUGUGGCUGGCACUCUGCGGGAGGUCAGGCUGCGCCAUAGGCAGGGUCCCUUCUGGCCCUAAAAUCUAUGAAUGUAUUGAUGCUCUGAGGCUGAAAAAGCAGCAGCUGCUCCUAUGCAGCACCUAGUUCUCAUAAGCAUUUGGAAUAAUGGAUCCAUAUUGUGCCAAUGCAUACUAAUGUUAAUAUACGUUUGCAGCGCACAAUGUGAUGGCUUUGGAGACACCCAGGUGUCAGAUUGAAUCAGUGUCAGUGACACACUGUACCAGGACUUUGCAGCAGGUCCCUGUUGGCUUCUCCAGCGGGAAGCUAUCGCUUCUUUGAAAUUAUUGUGUUUAUCCCUUAUGUUUCUGGAGGAAAAAAAAAAACACAUAAAUUGUCCCCAGCCCGCUGCAGGUCUGUGGUCCGCAGCUUGUGGCCAGCCAAAGCCUGGUUUUCAAAGGGUUUGAGGGAAACAAAGCGAGAUGCUGUGUGAGGAGUGACCACAGAGCUGUGAGAUGAAGCUCCUGUGUUCUCUGCUGUUCUCCUCACCAGUGCAAGGAAACUGUGAGACAGGGCAAGUUCUGCUCUCAGCAGCAUCCAUACAGUCCCUGCUGCAGCCCAAACCAUCUGCAAGCCAAAAACCUGAUCUGCCUCUGCUGGAUCUCAUCCCCAAUGGCUUUCAGAUGCAGAAUCAGGUUCAGACUGCAGAGAGAACACAGCCUCUGAUUGAUGCCAUGAGUUUGGGGAGCUGGGGCACAGAGGAACAUGCUCACUCCUCAGCCUCGUGCCAUCUGUACCCAGGAGCUUGCUGUGUGCAUGAACAUGUGGGCAGAAGAACACUGGGUUUCAUGAGCAGAGCCAGGGCUGCAUGGAGUUCCAAGGGAAGGUUGUGCUCCCCUGGCCUCACCUGUAUUGUUUAUGCUGGAUGUAUAUGUGUGCAUUGCCAUCACAUUUGUAUAUACCCAUAGAGAUACUUCAUCUUUUCAUAACAAGCCUGCAUCAGCCUUGCCUGUAUUCCCUACCCAAAUCCACUCAAGCUUACACGAGCCCAUAUGGGAGGCUGCCCAAAACAUCAUUUGUUUACAGUAACAUAAUAAAGCAGAGCACCGCCCAACAAACUCUCUUGUUUGAACGCCUGUUAUUGCCUUUGCUAAUCCGCUGAACCAGACUGCACUGGAGAUGAGGGAACGUUGUCACUAACUAGGCACUGCAAAAGUUGAGGCCAUUCCAUACUGGGACUCACCUGCUGAGUGCCCAGGAUGCUCCUUGAGGUGCCUCUGCCUCACCAAGCACCUCUGAGGCCCAAUGCCACACGCUGCUCACACAGCUCAGCUGACCUCUGUGGGCAGCCCUGUCUACGCCAGCUGGAAGAAGUUGCUUCCCAUGGAAAUGCUGAACUUGCCCGUCCCAUGCUGUUUUUUGUCUUGCUCCAGAAAGAUAUAUAUAUAUAUGAGAAUCAUUUAAAGAAAAUGGAAAGCAACCAAUCAACUGCUUCCCCAGCCCACACGGACUGCUCUGCUCUCCUUCUCCCCUGGCCCAUGGCACAUUGGCACACUGGUACUGACAUGGGAUCACACUGAGGUGGACUGCUUUUAUGUCUCUGGAAUGGUUAUGGAGAGGAGACAGUUCCUCUUUCAUGGGGGCUGGGGGAGAGGGGAAGAGAGAAGUGAAAAGAAAUGUGUCCCUGUGCCCAGGUGACAGUGAUGGCCCAAACAUGUUGAUGAUCCAGCCUACUCCCUAUCCUGGGGGCAAUGCAAGGGAAGGAGUAUCUCUGCAGAAGAGAUAGGAUGAUUCUGAGCAUCAUUUUUCCAUGACACUCGUGUCUUUUCAUUCAUGACUUUUUUUCUUGGAUACCAUAUAUUGGGGGCAGGGGCUGUGCCUGCCCGCCCCACCAAUGACAGUUUGGUUUCCAGCUUUAAUCAUAGCCACUGAGCUGAGUAAGAACACCACAGUGAGAUGCUGCCAGCAGCUAUCCUGGAUCCAGUGUCUGGAGCUGGUGGUUUAUCCAGGAGGCAAAGCUUGGCUUGCACUGGAGUGAAGUUGUUAAUGCUUCCACAGCACCGGGGAGACAGGGAGGCUCCAAUGAAUGUCUCCUAAUUAUAUCAUCAUGUUUGCAAAAUUUCUGUGCUUUCUGGCAAACAUACCUUUCUGUGGGAGGAGGGAAUGUGAUGGGAAAAGGAGGGGAUAAUGGAAAGGGAGACAGAGAGAUCAGUACUGAAUGUGAAAUAAGAGAAUAAAAUGAGAAAUAGUGAAUGCAAAAAAGGACGUGCUAGAAAAGAAGAAAGAGAGAGGGGGAAGGAAAGAAGGGAAGAAAGAAAGGAACGAAGGAAAAAAGGAAGAAAGGAAGAAAGGGAGAAAGAAAAGAAGGGAGAGAGGAAGGAAGAAAGGAUGAGAGGAAGGGAGGAAGGGAGGAAGGAAGAAAGAAAGAAAGAAGGAAAGAAAGAAGGAAAGAAAGAAAGAGAGAAAGAAAGAGAGAAAGAGAGAAAGAAAGAGAGAAAGAAAGAAAGAAAAAGAGAAAGAAAGAAAGAGAGAAAGAGAGAAAGAGAGAAAGAAAGAGAGAAAGAGAGAAAGAGAGAAAGAGAGAAAGAGAGAAAGAGAGAAAGAAAGAAAGAAAGAAAGAAAGAAAGAAAGAAAGAAAGAAAGAAAGAAAGAAAGAAAGAAAGAAAGAAAGAAAGAAGGAAAGAAAGAAGGAAAGAAAGAAAGAAAGAAAGAAAGAAAGAAAGAAAGAAAGAAAAAAAUGAGAAGAAAGAAAAAAUGGAAAAAAAUAAAGGAAGAAAAAAAGAAAAAAGAAAUUGAGACAGGAAAAAAAAAAAGAAGUAAAACAGAACGGGGAAGAGUGAGAAAGCUGAAGAACGAAAAAAAAAAGGAGAGGGGUCGGGGGGAAACAGCGGGCUAUGCGAUGCCUGGUGCCCGCGGCGUGAGGCGCGGACGAGGGCCGGGGCAGCUCGGGUCGCUCUUUUCAGCACCCUGGAUAGCUCUGGGGCCGCCAGCGGUGCCGCGCACAGAGCGAGGGCGCGGUGAGGGCUCG